rnacentral:rRNA from 1 species
AACGAACGCUGGCGGCGUGCCUAACACAUGCAAGUCGAACGAGAAAGGGGCUUCGGCCCUGAGUAAAGUGGCGCACGGGUGAGUAACACGUGGGUAACCUGCCUCUAAGAUUGGGAUAACCCGUCGAAAGAUGGGCUAAUACCGGAUAAGACCACAGUCCCCGCGGGGACAGAGGUUAAAGGUAGCCUCUAUUUAUAAGCUAUCACUUAGAGAUGGGCCUGCGCACCAUUAGCUAGUUGGUAGGGUAACGGCCUACCAAGGCAAAGAUGGUUAGCUGGUCUGAGAGGAUGAUCAGCCACACUGGAACUGAGACACGGUCCAGACUCCUACGGGAGGCAGCAGUGGGGAAUAUUGCGCAAUGGGCGAAAGCCUGACGCAGCAACGCCGCGUGAGUGAUGAAGGCCCUUGGGUCGUAAAGCUCUGUCGGAGGGAACGAAUGCUCCUGAGGUUAAUAGCCUUGGGAGGUGACGGUACCCUCAAAGGAAGCACCGGCUAACUCUGUGCCAGCAGCCGCGGUAAAAC